rnacentral:pre_miRNA from 14 species
UUCCAGAGGUCCCAAGUUCAAUUCCUAGUGAAAGAUCCCUGAAGGGAGACCCUCACUCAAGUCUCGGGAAGUCAUGGACCCCAGACACACGAGAGACC